rnacentral:rRNA from 1 species
UACGGAGGGUGCGAGCGUUGUCCGGAAUUAUUGGGCGUAAAGGGUGCGUAGGCGGUUUGGUAAGUCUGAUGUGAAAAUCUAUGGGCUCAACUCAUAGUCUGCAUCGGAAACUGCCGGGCUUGAGUGUGGGAGAGGUGAGUGGAAUUCCUGGUGUAGCGGUGAAAUGCGUAGAUAUCAGGAGGAACACCUGUGGCGAAAAGCGGCUCACUGGACCAUAACUGACGCUGAUGCACGAAAGCUAGGGGAGCAAACAGG